AUGGUGGCCAAGGAGACAGGUGGCUGGAGUCCCCAGGUCAAUCUCUAUUGUCCUACCUGCAUCAACUGGGCAUCCAAGGCUUGUAAUUCUGCUCACAGAAUAUUUCAAAGAAAAUUGAGCUGCUCACAAAUUAUUACAUAAGAAAGCAAAAGAUGAAAAGGAAAAGCAAGAAGUGUCUUUCUGGACUGUAGAAGGUGAUAUUAACACUGACCCGUGGGCCAGUGUUAAUAUCCAUACACUGGUAAACUUAGGCCACAUUAUCCACUGAUGACAACAAGACUGGUGCCAAGUUAUAGGCAAAGAUGAUUUUACUGAUCAUUCCUUGGGAAUGUCUGAAUCUGAACAGGCUCUUAAAGAUACUUCUCAAGUUAAAUUUUUCUGAUCUGAAGAUCAAAAGGGAUGCGACUUGUAUCUAAGCUGCUAGAGAAGUGUUGAAUAUUGCUGCUGGGCUGGUUAAGCCAGGUGUAACUGCUGAAGGAACAGACCAUGCUGUACACUUAGAAUGCAUUGCAAGAAAUUGUUAUCCUUCUCCUCUGAAUUAUUAUACUUUCCCACAGAAUUCCAGACAGUCCUUGGAAGAAGGUGAUAUUGUUAAUGUCGACAUCACUCUUUAUUGCAUUGGUUAUGAUGGGGACAUGAUUAAGACAUAUUUUAUUGGCAGUGUGGAUGAGGAUGCACGGAAAUUUGUUCAGACCACGUAUGAGUGCCUCAUGCAAGCCAUCAAUGCAGUGAAACCUGGUGUUUGAUACAGAGAAUUGGGAAACAUAUUUCAGAAGCCUGCCCAAGCAAAUGAAUUUUCAGUUGUUUGAAGCUAUUGCGAGCAUGGAGUCCACAAACUUUUUCAUACAGCUCCCAAUGCACUCCAUUGUGCCUAAAAUAAAGCAGUUGGUGUGAUACAAUCAAGCCAUGUAUUUACAGUUGAGCCAAUGAUUUGUGAAGGUGGAUGGCAGGAUGAAUCCUAGCCAGAAGGUUGGACUGCAGUGAGGAGACAGCUCGGUUCCACUAUUCCUUGCUGGUCACAGACACUGGCUGUGAAAUGCUAACCUGGCAACUUGAUAGUGAAUAGCCUCACUACAUAUCCCAACUU
rnacentral:lncRNA from 1 species